UACGGAGGGAGCAAGCGUUGUUCGGAAUUACUGGGCGUAAAGAGCGCGUAGGCGGUUUGGUAAGUCAGAUGUGAAAUCCAAUGGCUCAACCAUUUGAACUGCAUAUGAUACUGCCAGACUUGAGAUCAGUAGAGGAGAGCGGAAUUCCCAGUGUAGCGGUGGAAUGCGUAGAUAUUGGGAAGAACACCGGUGGCGAAGGCGGCUCUCUGGACUGGUUCUGACGCUGAGGCGCGAAAGCUAGGGGAGCAAACAGGAUUAGAUACCCCCGUA
rnacentral:rRNA from 1 species